GUCAAGCUAAUGACAUUAAACAAGCCCUACUAGGAGGGAGCCUAGAAAUAAAUUCAUUUUUGUAGUGAUUUUCUUGUUGAAAAGGUUUGUUUUAUGUUUUUUUUCUUUCUUUUUGUUUGCAGGAAAUAAAUGGGAUUCAAUGGAGUGAUCAGUUGCAGAGAAGAAGUAGAGGAGCUGUGGAGAUGGAGUUGUGGAAAUCUCAGAACAUCAAUUUUGAAACUCAAUUGUCAAAUCUUGAUGCAAUUGCUUGAUGGAUGCUUUGGUGAGCUGUUUCUGUAUUCUAAUUUACUCAGUGUUUAUAUGCUUUAAUUUGAUUCAUCUGCUAAGAUUCAUCCCAUCCUGAAAGAAAUCAAACUUCAAAUCAAAUGUUUUACUAAAAAAGGCCUCGACACUGUUUACUGUAAUGUAUUGUC
rnacentral:lncRNA from 1 species